rnacentral:piRNA from 1 species
UCGUUGACUGACUAUAGGGUU